UGGAUGGCGACCGGCGCACGGGUGAGUAACACGUAUCCAACCUGCCGACAACACUGGGAUAGCCUUUCGAAAGAAAGAUUAAUACCGGAUGGCAUAGUUUUCCCGCAUGGGAUAAUUAUUAAAGAAUUUCGGUUGUCGAUGGGGAUGCAUUCCAUUAGGCAGUUGGCGGGGUAACGGCCCACCAAACCAACGAUGGAUAGGGGUUCUGAGAGGAAGGUCCCCCACAUUGGAACUGAGACACGGUCCAA
rnacentral:rRNA from 1 species